GUAAUCCCAGCACUUUGGGAGGCUGAGGUAGGCGGAUCACUUGAGGUCAGGAGUUUGAGACCAGCUUUGCGAACAUGGUGAAAUCCCGUCUCCACUAAAAUACAAAAAUCAGCCAGGCUAACGGGCAGGAAGGAGAGGAGGUGAAGGUAUAGGAAGGAAGGCUCCAUGGCAACUAUGGCCUGGUCAAGGGACAAGAUGCAUCCCCUCUGCGGCCAGAGGAAGGGGUGCAGCCACGUCUGUAAGAGCAGCAGGAAAAAACCAUGCGACAGCCUGUCUCAAGGCCAAUCCUAGCCCAGCGUGGCGCAGUAGUGGGUCAGGGAGGGCACGGGAACAGCGCGACCCGACAGCCUGGGAAACGGACAGCCGUGUCAGAAGGGCAGGUGCCAGUGGGCAGGAGGCCGGAGAGAAAGCCGCAGCUUCCUUCCACCUCGCGCCGGGCCCGCGGCCGCGCACGGGGACCGCUCCGAGUUCCUCCCGGCGGGAACCCCCCGCCCCAGAACUUUGGUCUCGU
rnacentral:sRNA from 1 species